rnacentral:rRNA from 1 species
GGAGUUAGCCGGUGCUUCUUCUGUGAGUGAUGUCCUUCCUGCCGGUUAUUGACCCGCAGGCCUUCUUCCUCACUGAAAGUGCUUUACAACCCGAAGGCCUUCUUCACACACGCGGCAUGGCUGGAUCAGGGUUGCCCCCAUUGUCCAAUAUUCCCCACUGCUGCCUCCCGUAGGAGUCUGGGCCGUGUCUCAGUCCCAGUGUGGCUGAUCAUCCUCUCAGACCAGCUACGGAUCGUCGCCUUGGUGAGCCGUUACCUCACCAACCAGCUAAUCCGACAUAGGCUCAUCCGAUAGCGCGAGGCCCGAAGGUCCCCCGCUUUCCCCCGUAGGGCGUAUGCGGUAUUAGCCUGGGUUUCCCCAGGUUAUCCCCCGACUACCGGGCAGAUUCCUAUGCAUUACUCACCCGUCCGCCGCUCGCCACCAGGGAGCAAGCUCCCCGUGCUGCCGCUCGACUUGCAUGUGUUAGGCCUGCCGCCAGCGUUCAAUCUGAACCAGAUCAAACUCUGA